rnacentral:rRNA from 1 species
ACGCUCGACACCUACGGGAGGCGGCAGUGGGGAAUAUUGCACAAUGGGGGAAACCCUGAUGCAGCGACGCCGCGUGAGCGAAGAAGUAUUUCGGUAUGUAAAGCUCUAUCAGCAGGGAAGAAACUGACGGUACCUGACUAAGAAGCACCGGCUAAAUACGUGCCAGCAGCCGCGGUAAUCUGAGCGGGCUGGCAAGGC